rnacentral:lncRNA from 1 species
UAUAUAUUUGCUUUUAAAGCCAUAGAAAUCAGUUAUCCCAGUUUUUUUUUUCCUAUAAAAGACCCAUUUUUCCAAAGCUUUAUGCACAAACAUUUUUAAUUAGAAUAUAAUGGCAGAAUGAAAAUAAUGAUAUUCUGUAACUCUUAAAUAUAAAAUGAAGUCAACGACUCAAAAAAGUUAUUAUUUGCUGCAGUGAGUUCGAAGGGAAACCUCAGAUAAUAUAUAUCUAUAGUUACAGAUAUAAAAUAGGAUGGUGGGACAUUUUUAGUGCUCGACGGGGAGAAAUUACGAUAUGGGGGUCAAUAUGAAUUGUAAUGAUAGUAGCAAUGUCUAACAUUUGAAAUGCAUCCAUGCUCCUUUGUAUAAUCAUACACUAGAGUCAAUUAUAUUUAUUCUUCACAUCUGUUAACUGCUAUUGCAAAGGAGAAAUGCUAUUGUCUUAAAUUUCCAAGAGAUACACAGAGCAAUUUCUUUUUCCGGGGAUGCAGUGGUGUGCAAACCAUUUUAAGAUCUAAAUUCUUCUCGUCGGAUACAAAAAACAGGAGAAGCUCCUUCAGAUAUGUCACUAAUUUCUGUAAGGUGGUGACGUUGGGAACGCUGGCACUUUCCAUUUAGGCAACAGUUCUUCAUUCCUGCAAUCUGGCUCAGAGCUGCUGCGCCAUGGGAGUCUAAAGCAGCAGGCAGGAUUUCUUUUUAGGCUUCUUCUUUUCCACUGGUGUUUUUCUAUUUAUCUGUCUGACCAGGUCAUAAAAGAUCUCAUUAACAUUGAUUUUAGACUUUGCAGACGAUUCUAGAAAGGCACAGUUACACCACUGUCUUGCUAAGUUCUGACCCUGUUCUUUGCCGACUACGCGUUCUUCCUCCAGGUCACAUUUAUUGCCAACCAGAAUCAUCGGAACAUCUUCAGUGUCCUUCACCCGUAAGAUCUGUUCCCGCAGGUCCUGUAGGUCGUUAAACGUGGACUGUGCUGUUAUUGAAUAUACUAGUGCAAACCCUUGGCCGUUCUUCAUAUAGAGAUCCCUCAUUGCUGUAAAUUGCUCUGUCCCUGCUGUAUCCAGGAUUUCAAGCAUACACUGUUGACAGUCUACUUCCACUUGCUUUCUGUAUGAAUCUUCUAUUGUUGGGUCAUAUUUUUCAACAAAAAUUCCCUGAACAAACUGUACAGUCAAGGCAGACUUGCCCACACCUCCGGAGCCAAGGACCACUAGCUUGUACUCACGCAUGGCGCGGGCUGCUCAGGUCCCAGCAACCUUGGCAUACAAGAUCUCUCAUCAGUGUUAACAGCACUACUGAAGGGUUUUCCAGGCUCCUUACGAGGCCACCUCCGCUCCGCUCCGCUCGGGGUUCGGCCGCUGUGCGCGGCGGCGGCGGCGGCGCUCCGCUCCGCCCUCAGCGGCCGCGGCCCGGGGAGGGGCCAGA